rnacentral:rRNA from 1 species
GACGAACGCUGGCGGCGCGCCUAACACAUGCAAGUCGAACGGAGCUGCGAGAAGCUUGCUUUUCUUAGCUUAGUGGCGAACGGGUGAGUAACGCGUGAGUAACCUGCCCUGGAGUGGGGGACAACAGUUGGAAACGACUGCUAAUACCGCAUAAGCCCACGAUCCGGCAUCGGAUUGAGGGAAAAGGAUUUAUUCGCUUCAGGAUGGACUCGCGUCCAAUUAGCUAGUUGGUGAGGUAACGGCCCACCAAGGCGACGAUUGGUAGCCGGACUGAGAGGUUGAACGGCCACAUUGGGACUGAGACACGGCCCAGACUCCUACGGGAGGCAGCAGUGGGGGAUAUUGCACAAUGGGGGAAACCCUGAUGCAGCGACGCCGCGUGGAGGAAGAAGGUUUUCGGAUUGUAAACUCCUGUCGUUAGGGACGAUAAUGGCGGUACCUAACAAGAAAGCACCGGCUAACUACGUG